AUACGGAAGGUCCGGGCGUUAUCCGGAUUUAUUGGGUUUAAAGGGAGCGCAGGCGGAGAUGCAAGCGUGACGUCAAAUUUCGGGGCUCAACCCCGUCUCGCGUCGCGAACUGCGUCCCUUGGUUGCGGGAAGGGGAGGCGGAACUCGGGGUGGAGCGGGGGAAUGCAUAGAUAUCACGAAGAACUCCGAUCGCGAAGGCAGCCUUCCGGCCCGUCAACGACGCUCAUGCUCGAAGGUGCGGGUAUCAAACAGGAUUAGAUACCCUGGUAGUCCGCACAGUAAACGAUGGACACCCGCGGUUUGGCCUGUAUGGCUGAGCCGCCAAGCGAAAGCGUUAAGUGUCCCACCUGGGGAGUACGCCGGCAACGGUGAAACUCAAAGGAAUUGACGGGG
rnacentral:rRNA from 1 species